rnacentral:snRNA from 1 species
GUGCUUGCUUUGGCAGCACAUAUACUAAAAUUGGAAUGAUACAGAGAAGAUUAGAUACAGAUCCUCCUGCAUACGGAUGCUAUGCAAAUUUGUGAUGCAUUCCAUAUUUAA